rnacentral:rRNA from 1 species
AACGCUGGCGGCGCGCUUAACACAUGCAAGUCGAGCGAGAACCGGGACUUCGGUCCCGGGGACAGCGGCGAACGGGUGAGUAACACGUGGGUAAUCUGCCCUCGAUUCUGGGAUAGCCCGGGGAAACCCGGAUUAAUACCGGAUAGCCUUCACGGUCUACGGACCGGGAAGAAAAGGUAGCUUCGGCCUCCGAUCGAGGAUGAGCCCGCGGUGGAUGAGCUUGGUGGCGGGGUAACGGCCCACCAAGGCGACGAUCCAUAGCUGGUCUGAGAGGACGAUCAGCCACACUGGGACUGAGACACGGCCCAGACUCCUACGGGAGGCAGCAGUGGGGAAUCUUGCGCAAUGGGCGAAAGCCUGACGCAGCGACGCCGCGUGGGGGAAGAAGGCCUUCGGGUUGUAAACCUCUUUCAGGAGGGACGAAGCCACUCGGGUGAACAGCCCAGAGGGUGACGGUACCUCCAGAAGAAGCCCCGGCUAACUACGUGCCAGCAGCCGCAGUAA